rnacentral:rRNA from 1 species
UCGCUCCUACCGAUCGAACGAUCCGGUGAAGUUUUCGGACUGUCGCUGCCUAGUGGUAACACUGAGCGGUGGUGGGAAGUAACCUAAACCGAAUUGUUUAGAGGAAGGAG